rnacentral:rRNA from 1 species
AAAUAGUCCCCAGCACAUGCAGAGAUCAAACCAGAGUGCGGAUUCCAAAGCUCGGAGGGGCUGUCAGAUGCCCAGGCCCUUGAGGCCGAUACCGGGGGGAGGAGUUCCUAGAAAAGCUCUGGGGGCAAAGCAUGUCUCGUACCAAAACUGACACAGGUGGAUGAGGCGAAUAGCCUAAGGCGCGCGAGAGAACGGUCGUGAAGGAACUAGGCAAUUUGACCCCUAACUUCGGGAUAAGGGGGCCCUCGCCGCAAGGCAGGGCGCAGAGAAAAGGAUAUGGGAACUGUUUAUCAAAAACACAGCUCUGUGCUAAGACGCAAGUCGAUGUAUACAGAGUGACGCUUGCCCGAUGCCGGAAUGUCAAGAGAGCGGGUCAUCGCAAGAGAAGCUCGCGAUCGAAGCACCGGUGAAUGGCGGCCGUAACUAUGACGGUCCUAAGGUAGCGAGGUUCCUUGUCGGGUAAGUUCCGACGCGCAUGAAUAGCGUAAUCACUGGAUCUCUGUCUCCACGACCGACUCGGUGAAAUAGUAGUGGCGGUGAGAUGCCGCCUACCCGCAGCAAGACGGAAAGACCCCGUGGACCUUCACUAUAGGUCCCUAUUGGCCACGAGCAUAUGCUGCGUAGCAUAGGUGGGAGGCUUUGACGACCGGGUUCCGGCCCGGUAAGAGCCAAAGGUGAAGUACCACCCUGUGUAAGUUUGUGGCCUAACUCUGAUUCCCAUGAAUCUGGGCAGAGGACAGUGGGUGCCGGGUAGUUUGACUGGGGCGGUCUCCUCCAAAAAGGUAACGGAGGAGCGCAAAGUUCGGCUCAGCACGGAUGGAAACCGUGUUUCGAGUGUAAGAGCAUAAGCCGGAUUUACUGCGAGACCGACGGGUCGAGCAGUCUCGAAAGAGGGCUCUAGUGAUCCUGCGAUCCCGUGUGGAAGGGUCGUAGCUCAACGGAUAAAAGGUACCCCGGGGAUAACAGGCUGAUCGCGCCCGAGCGUCCAUAGCGGCGGCGCGGUUUGGCACCUCGAUGUCGGCCCAUCACAUCCUGGGACUGAAGGCGGCCCCAAGGGUUCGGCUGUUCGCCGAUUAAAGUGGUACGCGAGCUGGGUUCAGACCGGCGUGAGCCAGGUCGGUCCCUAUCUGCUGUGGGCGUUGCAAGCUUGAGAGGAGUCAACCUUAGUACGAGAGGAUUGGGUUGGACAUACCCCUGGUGAUCCAGUUGCACUGCUAAGUGCACAGCUGGGUAGCUACGUAUGGCAGGGAUAACCGCUGAAAGCAUCUAAGCGGGAAGCCCCCCUCGAGAUUAGGCUUGCUGGUCGAAAGACGAAAGACCCCUGGUAGACCACCAGGUUGAUAGGCUGCAAGUGUACGGGCAGAAAUGCCUUGAGCUGAGCGGUACUAACGGUCGAAGUUCGGUCAU